CUUUCUCUUCCUUUUCCAGAAUAACUCACAGCCCAUCCGGGGAGCAUGCAGUCAUAACUGACCUCUGCAUAGCGAGGCAACUGCCAGCAUUUCCUACAACAAGCAACUGUGUGAUGGUUGGAUACAGUUUGGCAGCUUUGUGUGGCUGACUCACGGUGGAUCUGGGCCUGAGAUUGGUUCCUCUCCACUGAGAACAGGCAGAACGGGGCACUGAUCUUUCCUCCAGCCUCAGCUUUAGCUCAGCUGGGGGGCACCUUGAACCCUCCACCUCGUGAUUUGGGUGAGAUCAGAUACACUUGUAAAGAGGAAGGAGGACACUCUGAAAGUAUGUGUACUAAUAGACCCUGCAGCACCUGAACCAGGACAGCAUGAAGGGAAUGGAAAGUCUCUGCCACCACACCACACGGAGUACACCGCUGUGGUAGUGCACCAAGGAGGUAUGUCUGGCCACUGUGUAGCUGCCCCCAUACUGCUGUUAAAUAAUCGAACGUAAGCUGGAUGGGGCUCAUCCAGAAUAACAUUGCAAGGGCAGAACCACAAAUUCAAAAUACUUACAUUUUCAGUUGUUUUGCUGUAAAAAGUCUUAAGAAGCCACCAGUGAACAUGCUUGAGUCUAGUCUUCUGUAACCAGCGGUACUAAAUCAUAUAAUAGCUUGUGAAACUGACCUCUGAGAACACCCUGUUCUAUUAGAAAAAAUCUGAAAUAUGUUCUUUGUACUCAUGAGCUGCACCAGAGUUAUUUAGCUUAGAAAGGCUUUUCACAAAUUAGCACUGAUUAUAGGACUGAAGAGAAUCGGGACUGAAAGGUAUGGUAGAGAAAGCAAAAAGCCUUGAGUGAAAACUAAUCCCCUGAAUAUUUCAGUUUCUAAAAAAAAAAAAAAAGUGUUAAUGGCUUAAAGAAUCUCAGCAUAUUAGGAAGAACUAAUUUAAUUUUCUAAUAGUGCAAGCUUUU